rnacentral:tRNA from 1 species
UAUUUAUAUAGUUUAACAAAAACAAUACAUUUUCAUUGUAUAAAUAAUAUACCUCAUAUUUAUAAAUA